UACAGAGGUCUCAAGCGUUGUUCGGAUUCAUUGGGCGUAAAGGGUGCGUAGGUGGCGCUGUAAGUCAGGUGUGAAAUUUCGGAGCUUAACUCCGAAACUGCAUUUGAUACUGCGGUGCUCGAGGACUGGAGAGGAGACUGGAAUUUACGGUGUAGCAGUGAAAUGCGUAGAGAUCGUAAGGAAGACCAGUGGCGAAGGCGGGUCUCUGGACUAGAACUGACGCUCAUGCACGAAAGCGUGGGGAGCAAACAGG
rnacentral:rRNA from 1 species